rnacentral:rRNA from 1 species
AUCUAUACAACUUUCAGCAACGGAUCUCUUGGCUCUCGCAUCGAUGAAGAACGCAGCGAAAUGCGAUAAGUAAUGUGAAUUGCAGAAUUCAGUGAAUCAUCGAAUCUUUGAACGCACCUUGCGCUCCUUGGUAUUCCGAGGAGCAUGCCUGUUUGAGUGUCAUUAAAUUCUCAACCUCACCAACUU